rnacentral:rRNA from 1 species
CCUACGGGGGGCUGCAGUGGGGAAUAUUGGACAAUGGGGGCAACCCUGAUCCAGCCAUGCCGCGUGUGUGAAGAAGGCCCUCGGGUUGUAAAGCACUUUCAGUGAGGAAGAACGCCUGGUGGUUAAUACCCAUCAGGAAAGACAUCACUCACAGAAGAAGCACCGGCUAACUCCGUGCCAGCAGCCGCGGUAAUACGGAGGGUGCGAGCGUUAAUCGGAAUUACUGGGCGUAAAGCGCGCGUAGGUGGCUUGAUAAGCCGGUUGUGAAAGCCCCGGGCUCAACCUGGGGACGGCAUCCGGAACUGUCAAGCUAGAGUGCAGGAGAGGAAGGUAGAAUUCCCGGUGUAGCGGUGAAAUGCGUAGAGAUCGGGAGGAAUACCAGUGGCGAAGGCGGCCUUCUGGACUGACACUGACACUGAGGUGCGAAAGCGUGGGUAGCAAACAGGAUUAGAUACCCUUGUAGUC